GUGGGGAAUAUUGGACAAUGGGCGAAAGCCUGAUCCAGCCAUGCCGCGUGUGUGAAGAAGGUCUUCGGAUUGUAAAGCACUUUAAGUUGGGAGGAAGGGCAGUAAGUUAAUACCUUGCUGUUUUGACGUUACCGACAGAAUAAGCACCGGCUAACUUCGUGCCAGCAGCCGCGGUAAUACGAAGGGUGCAAGCGUUAAUCGGAAUUACUGGGCGUAAAGCGCGCGUAGGUGGUUUUGUAAGUGGGAGGUGAAAUCCCCGGGCUCAACCUGGGAACUGCCAGCAAAAAUGCAUGACUAGAGUACGGUAGAGGGUAGUGGAAUUUCCUGUGUAGCGGUGAAAUGCGUAGAUAUAGGAAGGAACACCAGUGGCGAAGGCGACUACCUGGACUGAUACGGACACUGAGGUGCGAAAGCGUGGGGAGCAAACAGGAUUAGAUACCCGUGUAGUCC
rnacentral:rRNA from 1 species